UCAGCAGAACAGUCACAUACAGAAGACAGAAUACAAAAUUGAAAUGACUCUUUGUCUCUCACACAAUCAGCACAGAGAACAGAUGUAUACUCAUCACAGAUAUAAAAAAGCAUCACAUUGCUGUUCAGACUAUCUUACAUGUGUAUCUUCUUUCUAUGAAUAACUAAUUUGAAAGUCAUUCAUCAACAAAGAGGAUGAAGACACUCAUCUGACAGACUGAAAGUACACAAAAACAGAGAGACAAUAUAAAAAUCAGUGUAAGCAAAUAUAACAUGAGAAUUCUUGUCUGUUAUAAUUUCAAUGAUGUGGAGACUCUGUACAAUUUCACCUAUGAAAGUUAGAAAGAAAAUCAUAGAAAAGAGACAAGAAGAGGUAUAAUAUAUACUCAGCACAAUCAGUACAAACAACAGCAGAAUUCAGAGAAUGUGUAAGAUUGCUAAAGAUUUCAUACUUACUUCAAGCAAGAAAUGCAACAGACAAAUAACUAGUGAAAUGAGUUGUAUUGUACAAUACUUGCAUAUGAAAUCACAUUUUGAUGGAGACAGUGAGAGCAGAAGAGAGGUGUGAAGAAUAGAGAGAGAGAUUAUGAAAGAUAUACAGAGCUUCUCAAAG
rnacentral:sRNA from 1 species